rnacentral:rRNA from 1 species
GGCUUAAUUUGACUCAACGCGGGGAAACUCACCAGGUCCAGAUGAAAUAAGGAUUGACAGAUUGAGAGCUCUUUCUUGAUUUUUCAGGUGGUGGUGCAUGGCCGUUCUUAGUUCGUGGGGUGACUUGUCUGCUUAAUUGCGAUAACGAGCGAGACCUUACUCUGCUAAAUAGCCAGGCUAACUUUGGUUGGUCGCCGGCUUCUUAGAGAGACUAUCAACUCAAGUUGAUGGAAGUUUGAGGCAAUAACAGGUCUGUGAUGCCC